GAUGAAGAACGUAGCGAAAUGCGAUAAGUAAUGUGAAUUGCAGAAUUCAGUGAAUCAUCGAAUCUUUGAACGCACCUUGCGCUCCUUGGUAUUCCGAGGAGCAUGCCUGUUUGAGUGUCAUGAAAUUCUCAACCUUUUCAGCUUUCUUUGUUGAUCAGGCUUGGAUGUGGGAGUAUGCGGGCUUCUCAGAAGUCGGCUCUCCUGAAAUGCAUUAGCGGGACCUUUGUUGCCUGGCUUUGGUGUGAUAAUUAUCUACGCCACUGUAGUCAAGCAGCUUAAAAUGAGGUUUCAGCUUCUAACCGUCUCCCCUGAGACAACUUUUUGACAAUUUGACCUCAAAUCAGGUAGGACUACCCGCUGAACUUAAGCAUAUCAAUAAGCGGAGGA
rnacentral:misc_RNA from 1 species